AUGCAUUUUUGGAUUGUAGAGUUUCACUAUCCAGACAGGGUGAUGCGACAAUUUGGGUUAAGACAGACAAUUCCACCAUGUCAUCCACGUGACGAGGUAGAGGUACGCAAAUUGCGAAAAAUUAAGCAUUCUGCAAGGAAAUCACAUAAUUGGGAAGAAAUCCAUGCCAACUAUGUUGAAGAAUAUAACCGAGUUCAAGCAACAGUAGUGCUAGAGGAUAUUUCCUUCGAUCUAGCUACUUUACUUGACUACAGACAUUGGUUCCAACAAAACGGUAUGUACACGGUUUUCUUUGAUUCCCAAUGCUUAGGAGGACUCGAUAAACCUAUCCCAUAUCCUCGAGAUAGCAUCGAAUGGACUGGCUACAUGCCUAGCGGUCCGCCACUGGCUCGCAUUGGCUUACGUGAGAUAAAGAAUGUUGCAUGGGGAAUCAAAUGUGCUACAACUCGUGGUUGCAAGAAGAAAGGAAAAUAUGUACUGAGGUCCUGUGUAGAAAAUUUGAUGGAUCUCAACUUUGAGCCUAGGCUGCAAAGCAUGCUUGCUGAGGCUAGGUUACCUCUGAACAUCGAAGAUAUUUCAUCUGAUGAUGAGGUUUCAGAUAUUGCUCACCCACCAAGCCCUCCAAAACAGAGCAACUGUGAUGUAUUUAAUGAUUGGAUAUACUCAUGGAGAGGUUUCACAACAUACCUUAUGGGUGGGGAUGCAAUGGAAGAUGGAGGAACGACAACAGAAGAUGUGGGUCCGUUGGCAUCGUAUCAUGUUUCCAGAUAUCAAUCAAGGAGUUCACUUCGAUUAAUAAUCCGAAUGGGACAACAUAGUGCAGCCUUUUUUUCAUUUCUUUCUCUAUGGCAUACCAGGUUGUAA
rnacentral:rRNA from 1 species